GAGUUGAAAUACGACACGGCCCUUCGGCUGGCGGCGCUGCAGAUGUACAUCCUCACGAUCAGCACCAAGCAGUCACAGAAGGUUUCCCUCAAGUUCAUCGAGUAAGGACUCCUCAUCACCUCGUCAUCCUCCAUGGCCCAAACUAUUGACUCCAUAUUAUCCAGAUCAUAUUUCUUAUUUUCUCUUAUUCAAUUUAUUUACCUUUUUUUUUUUUAACAAACAUUAAAUAAAUAUAGAAGAACAGAAAAUAAGAAAUACGAUCUGUCGAACAUCCUACUGUUUCCGUAGUGUUGUUGCUUUAUGGGUUGAAUAAUCGCCACGGAGUGAUUGAAUAAUUACAAUAGUAGCCGGUCGAUGAAUCAAUACAGCACCUCUGGGAGAAUGGAUUGAUGGGCGGUCAGGACUGUUGACCUCGGCUGUUUGUGAGUGCCGAGUAAGGUGAGCUAAUAAAGUAUGGAUUCUGACUGAACAGGAAGAAGUGGGGCCUGGCGUUGUUCCUGCCUCCUGCAGUGCCUCUACACCUCCCUCCGUCUCUCCCUCCCACUCUCUCUUCUGUUCCCUCUCCCCCCUUCCUUUUUUUACCAUUGCACACAGAAGGCCCUUGACUACCAUGUAUUGGGGCGCUGGGUGAAUGAAUCCUUAGUUUCCUGUUGUGUCAUGAACAUCCCUCUUUCUUGCAGCUGACAGCGUUGCAAGCCCAGGUCCACUAUCUCAAGUACCUCAGAGACUUGAGACUAUACGAGGAUGGGUCUUCAAAUUCAUCUUUGUGCAAGGCGAGAAGCACACGGAGGUGACCCUUCUGAUAGGACAGCGCUACGGCAUCAGCCACGUCAUCAACCCCAAGACCAACCUGGGUGGCUCUGCUGGCUGACUUCAGCCACGUCAACGCAUCGAAUGUACUCAGAGGACGAGAAGAUGGUGCGGGUGGAGCUCCAUAUUCUGGUCGUGACGGUGAACGGAUUCCUUUAGUGUCCGGUCCGGCUAGACCGGCGCCUCUGCUGGGGUUAGGGGUUAGAUUCCCUACUCAGUGGAAGAAUGUCCUCUGCUGGGUUAGGGGUUAUAUUCCCUACUCAGUGGAAGAAUUUGUUCACUCAUGUAGGUGAGAGACGCUUUGGAUUAAAAGCAACCCCUGUAUUUCGUUGCUAUUUGCUUUUCCCUGAAAUGUGGAAACAGAUGCUACCCCUGUUUUCUACUCUCUGAGUUGAUCUGCAACACUAUAUUGAGCUCUUAGUGGAAAGCUGCCUUAGCAGUCAUUAUCACCUCAUUCCGACCCUGCAUCCAUGGUGUGCUCAUUGUGUGCGGCUUAUCUCUCUCCUCCACAGCCAAUAACUCUGUUAAUGGAGUCUGUUGAUGCCAUAAUUCUGGCCUGUCUGACCGCCGGCUAUUACCGCUUACUGGUGGACUCCAGGCGCUAUUGGAGAACUUAACAUAAACUUUCUUAAGAGAAAUGUGGGAGGAGAAUGCGGAAGCGAGUAAGUCUCAAACUCGACACGUGUGACAACAUCUCCCUGCAUCAAAGCAUAACGUGAGAAAUUAAUAGUCCCGCUUCUCCUUUCCAGGUCACGAGGCGAGAGUGAAGCAGAACUACCGGGUGAUAGAGUGGACCUACAGCACGCCUUACAAGGCAACAGAGGACCGCGACUGCAGUCAGCGAUGUGGCCAGGACUUCUCGGAAUACCUGGAGAGCUCGGACCUGCAUGGAGAGAGGUGAUGAAUUAAGUCUACGCUCACUUGUGAUUUGAGGUUAGCUUGUGUGUAACUAGAGAUGCUCAACAAGUGUCUUUGUUUUCUACUACCCCUAGUGUAGCUUGCACAAAACUGAAGCAGGCAUUGGAAGACGA
ensembl:lncRNA